UAUUAAAAAUUUUGUCCAUUUGUACCAUAAAAAGUUAGCGUGGUUGAGAGAAUAAUUAGAUAGCGACAUAUGGCAUGCCACAUGUACCUGAUGCCGACAUGCAAUGACCAAUUUUUAAAAGUAGAAAUAGACAAAACUUUUAACA
rfam:Gossypium raimondii Chr09_contig_1642, whole genome shotgun sequence.